CAGUAGCCGCGGGAAUACAGAGGGUGCGAGCGUUAAUCGGAUUUACUGGGCAUAAAGCGUGCGUAGGCGGCUUUUUAAGUCGGAUGUGAAAUCCCUGAGCUUAACUUAGGAAUUGCAUUCGAUACUGGGAAGCUAGAGUAUGGGAGAGGAUGGUAGAAUUCCAGGUGUAGCGGUGAAAUGCGUAGAGAUCUGGAGGAAUACCGAUGGCGAAGGCAGCCAUCUGGCCUAAUACUGACGCUGAGGUACGAAAGCAUGGGGAGCAAACAGGAUUAGAUACCCGCGUAGUCCCUGUCUCUUAUAC
rnacentral:rRNA from 1 species